ACGGCUCAGUAACACGUGGACAACNUACCCUGUGGAGGGGGAUAACCCCGGAAAACUGGGGAUAAUACCCCAUAGGUUAGGGUGGCUGGAAUGCCCCCUAGCUCAAAGGUCCGCCGCCACAGGAUGGGUCUGCGGCCGAUUAGGUUGUUGUUGGGGUAACGGCCCAACAAGCCUUUGAUCGGUACGGGUUGUGGGGGCAAGAGCCCGGAGAUGGAUUCUGAGACACGAAUCCAGGCCCUACGGGGCGCAGCAGGCGCGAAAACUUUACAAUGCGAGAAAUCGUGAUAAGGGAACCCCGAGUGCCCGUAAAUUCGGGCUGUCCGCCAGUGCAAAAAACUGGUGAAGAAAGAGCCGGGCAAGACCGGUGCCAGCCGCCGCGGUAAUACCGGCGGCUCGAGUGGUGGCCACUAUUACUGGGCUUAAAGCGUCCGUAGCUUGGUUGUUAAGUCUCCUGGGAAAUCCAUCGGCUCAACCGAUGGGCGUUCAGGAGAUACUGGCAACCUAGGGACCGGGAGAGGUGAGAGGUACUCCAGGGGUAGGAGUGAAAUCCUGUAAUCCUUGGGGGACCACCUGUGGCGAAGGCGUCUCACUAGAACGGCUCCGACAGUGAGGGACGAAAGCUGGGGGAGCAAACCGGAUUAGAUACCCGGGUAGUCCCAGCUGUAAACGAUGCGCGUUAGGUGUAUCGGUGACCACGAGUCACCGAGGUGCCGAAGGGAAACCGUGAAACGUGCCGCCUGGGAAGUACGGUCGCAAGGCUGAAACUUAAAGGAAUUGGCGGGGGAGCAC
rnacentral:rRNA from 1 species